GAUGAACGCUGGCGGCGUGCUUAACACAUGCAAGUCGAACGGUGAAGGCGGAGCUUGCUCUGCUGGAUCAGUGGCGAACGGGUGAGUAACACGUGAGCAAUCUGCCCCUGUCUCUGGGAUAAGCGCUGGAAACGGCGUCUAAUACUGGAUACGAUCUGCUAAGGCAUCUUCAGCAGCUGUAAAAAACUGCGGUCAGGGCUGAGCUCGCGGCCUAUCAGCUUGUUGGUCAGGUAACGGCUCACCAAGGCGUCGACGGGUAGCCGGCCUGAGAGGGUGACCGGCCACACUGGGACUGCGACACGGCCCAGACGCCUACGGGAGGCAGCAGUGGGGAAUAUUGCACAAUGGGCGAAAGCCUGAUGCAGCAACGCCGCGUGAGGGACGACGGCCUUCGGGUUGUAAACAUAUUUUAGCAGGGAAGAAGAGAAAGUGACGGUACCUGCAGAAAAAGCGCCGGCUAACUACGUG
rnacentral:rRNA from 1 species